rnacentral:rRNA from 1 species
AUUGAACGCUAGCGGGAUGCUUUACACAUGCAAGUCGAACGGCAGCGCGUACUUCGGUCUGGCGGCGAGUGGCGAACGGGUGAGUAAUGUAUCGGAACGUGCCCAGUAGCGGGGGAUAACUACGCGAAAGCGUAGCUAAUACCGCAUACGCCCUACGGGGGAAAGCAGGGGAUCGUAAGACCUUGCACUAUUGGAGCGGCCGAUAUCGGAUUAGCUAGUUGGUGAGGUAACGGCUCACCAAGGCGACGAUCCGUAGCUGGUUUGAGAGGACGACCAGCCACACUGGGACUGAGACACGGCCCAGACUCCUACGGGAGGCAGCAGUGGGGAAUUUUGGACAAUGGGGGCAACCCUGAUCCAGCCAUCCCGCGUGUGCGAUGAAGGCCUUCGGGUUGUAAAGCACUUUUGGCAGGAAAGAAACGUCGCGGGCUAAUACCCCGUGGAACUGACGGUACCUGCAGAAUAAGCACCGGCUAACUACGUG